UGGAGAGAAAAUGGCGCUCUACACACCAAGAGGAUUCCUACCUAAUCUGGAGGGACAGUUUGUUGCUGUUGCUUUGAUUUAUCCAGGGCAUUUAACACAGUUCAGCCUGAUUUGCUUUGUCAGAAACUCCAGAAGACUCAGGUGCCACUGGCCGUGUCGGUGACUUCCAGGAAAGGCUGGAUGACGACCGUGAAAGUAUGGUGACGACUGGAGUAUGAAACUCCAGAAGACUCAGGUGCCACUGGUCGUGUCGGUGACUUCCAGGAAAGGCUGGAUGACGACCGUGAAAGUAUGGUGACGACUGGAGAGACAGGGGACGGUUCGGAGAGACGGCAAUCGGUGCAGUAAAGGUUAGCACCCUGAGUUGCAGCUCCCGUGAUGGGGCAAUCAUACCUUGCUAUAGAAAGCCCUAAAGAAAAAUACCCCCAGGGGUGCAUGAGAGGGGGGCAGGAUGAGCACCCCAAAAUGGACGGAUUACCCAGUGCCAGACAUACGCAACGGAUUUUCGAUAACGACAGCAAGUAAGAACCUUAGGGGCCUGAGGAUCUACCAGGCCAAGAUGGGCUGCACAAGGAGGAAGCAAGUAGAGCAACGCACAGAGCCAGUGCCAAGCACUGACCUUGGUGAGACGGAGGAGGAGCAGGAACCGGAGGCACCCCACAGUGUCCAGAAACUCCAUGCUCAACAUGCUACACCUAGCAAACCAUUAGAACAGCGUCAGGUUUUAUUGCCGGCUGCAAACAAGGAGGCUGAGUGGCGGCAGUUUGACGAGGACGUUGAUGCCACUCUAAAUGCAUCUUGCAGAGGAGAAGUUGAUCAGCGACUGCAGUUGAUGAGCACACUAAUCAUCAGCAUCGGUGUAGAGAGAUUUGGCAUCAAAUUACCGAAGGCUCAGAACAUCGUUAGGCCAAACCGGCGUGAGACCAAGAUCUCCCAGCUCCGGAAGGAGCUGAAGGCGUGCGAGACGGAAAGACCAGACCUGACAGAGCUCAGGGACAUCCUGAGGCAGAAACUCAUCUCUGCGACGGGCUGAGUGGCACAGGUGGAGAGGCAGAGAGAGGGCUCGCAAGCGAACGGCCUUUGUUGCAAAUCCUUUCGGAUUUACUAAGCAGCUGCUGGGGCAGACGCAGAGUGGGACCCUGCGUUGCCCAGAGGAUGAGACCAACCAGAGCCUUAGUGCCACAUACAGCAACAGCAGAAGGGAGGAAAAUCUGCCCACCUGCAGAGAGCUACCCACACCUCCAAAACCCUCUGUCCAGUUCAACAUCAAGGAGCCCACUCUGGCAAAGGUCAGGAACAUUAUACAAGCUGCGCAUACUAGUGCAGCCCCAGGCCAAAGUGGAGUGCCCUACAAAUUCUGCAAACAUUGCCCGAGACUCCUGGAGAGGCUCUGGAGACUUAUUAGGGUAGAAUGGCGGAGGUGGAAGGUGGCCCAGCAGUCAAAGGGUGUUUGAAUCCUGAAAGAGGAGAACGCGAGUGACAUCACACAGUUCCGCAUCAUCUCCCUACUCGGUGUGGAAGGCAAAAUCUUCUUUAAGAUUCUUGCCAAUAGGUUAUCUGAGUAUCUCCUGAGAAAUUCUCAAGAAGAGUGGUGAUAGUAUCAUGCUCAGAGGCCCUUUUGCUACCAGUAAAUCUGGCAUUGCACAAAGUUGACAGAAUAACCAAGAGGAAAGACUACCUGCAGAUUCUUCAACUUUACCUCAUAUGCAAAGUCAGACACAGGGUGCAUGGCUCAGAGUAAAGGCGAUUCUUAAAAGUGAUGUGGUUUGGUGUCUGGUAAGGAUGGCUGUCUGAGAGGCCUGACUGUGAGGAGGACUAGCUUGUACCUGUGAGGAGAUUAUGUCUUACAGCAAGCUUCAUAAAGUCUCAGUAGUUUUUGAUAAGAGGAAAAAAAAAAAAACCCUGUUAAAAAAUAAAUAAAACUUGCUUUAAACAGAAAAAACUCCAGCAAAACCAGAGAGAGGAGACUUUUCUGAUCUGCUUAUCAAUAUCAGGAGAGAUUAUAGUAACUGUAGUCAUAGUAUCAUGGUUGACAAUAUUUGACUCCUGGUGCUUAGUUGGCUUAGAUGUUUUUGAAAUAUACCUGAGAAUCCUGCUCCGAUGAUGAUAUUGCUGUAGUUGGGAUGGUAAUCUAGCACAAAGUGGCGAUCAGGUGUUAACUAGAACAACAAAACAAACAAGAUAUAACAAGUCAGCAAGGCCUGAAGCGACAUUAAAUAAUUUCACAAUCAAACAAAAAUCAAGUUAUCAGAAUUCAAAACAACUUAAAAUGUCUACAUACAGGCAGGAAUACAAAUUGUUGGUUACAGAUGUGUGACAUAAUCAAAUUAAGCUUUGUGAAAAGUACAAAAAAAAGGAAAGAAAACAAAAACAUAAAAAAACAAAGAAAACAUGUUUGUAUAAUUAUCUGCAACACAGACCGGCCCCAACUUAUAGAAGGCACCGGGUUUUCUGGCCUUGUGAACAUCACAUCAGAUCUUGAUUGUUUAGCAACCCACAAAAUCUGUCCUAUUUUCCACCAAAGUUUUUCUCCCUCUGUUUCGUUUAGAGGAGCAUCUCUCUGUACAGCCUGUGCUGCCUGUAAAUGUACUGCUUGUAGGCUGUCAAUGUAACUGUGCUGAUGCACCUGAACUUUCCACACUUAGCAGCUAGCUGGCAGAGCAACCUGCGGAGAGUCUCGAGAUUUUCCAGCAGAAAACAUUAAAGCACCGACGCAGCUUAUGAACCGGAAAUGUCCGCGGGUUUGAUUGGAAUUUUCCGAUCCUUAAAUUAUCGAUACCAGAGCCCGAUACGGAUGCUGGAUCGGAUCGGCCCUAUCCCUAACAUAUCUUAGCAUAUGUAUAUUAAGGUGUGUGUAUGUGUGUGUGUGAUAACAGACAUUGAAAGUAAACAUUCAGCAACAGCUGUUGUUAAGACUUUAUAAUCUUUGCUGCUCCCCACAAAGUCAAUGUUCAUAAACAUGCUAGUAGUUGCAUGGUUUCUUGAUCUGAUCAAGAAUUAUUAUUUGCACUGUCUCUUAGAUGCUAAUGACUAUUUGCACACUUUUUAACUUUACCAGGAGUGUUUGUUUCUACAGUUAUGCAUAUUGCUAUUUUUUUCCCCCAUGGUUCUGUAAAUCUGCUGUUUUUCUUCUUUUUAGGUUUAACAUUUUAUAUGAAUAAGCCUUGCUAUUUAUAAAUAAUUGCACAAUAUUUCCAUCCUUUCGAAUAUGUUCUUUCUCUUCUGCGGAACAGCUUAACUUUAACAUUUUGUUCUUUAUGUAAUUGAGCUUUAUGCAAUUAAUUUUGUUCUUAAUGUUUCAUAUCGUGUAUAAUCCAUUUACUUGUUUUUGCCAAAGUCACACCCUGAUUUUCCCACUGUGGGAGAAUAAAAAUAUUUAUAUUCUA